rnacentral:lncRNA from 1 species
GUGUUCAGAUCCAAGAAAUUAUGGGUGCUGCUAGUGUCUAUCAGAACAUGUAAGGACUUUCCCUUGACACUCACAGUGACUCUCAUGGUCUUAAAAUCACUUACACCAUUCAUAGCAUGGACAGACACAUGUGGAAAUAUUGCUCCCUCUUCAUCAGUUUCCCACUUAUGCCCAGUCAUUGUUAAAAAUUCAGCAGAGUCUAGUACCAUUUCAUCCCCUAUGUCUGUGAUUUCUUCACCUCCUUCUAUUUCCAUGGAGAACAACUGUCUUUUUCCUUUACAAACAUGACCAUAAGAACAUUU